rnacentral:rRNA from 1 species
UACGUAGGGGGCAAGCGUUGUCCGGAAUUAUUGGGCGUAAAGAGCUCGUAGGCGGUUUCGUAAGUCGGAUGUGAAAACUCAGGGCUCAACCCGGAGACGCCAUCUGAUACUGCGAUGACUGGAGUCUGGUAGGGGAUCACGGAAUACCUGGUGUAGCGGUGAAAUGCGCAGAUAUCAGGUGGAACACCGAUGGCGAAGGCAGUGAUCUGGGCCAGUACUGACGCUGAGGAGCGAAAGCGUGGGGAGCAAACAGG